AGAGUUUGAUCCUGGCUCAGCCCGAACGCUUGCGGCGUGCCUAACACAUGCAAGUCGAACGGAGUUAAGCCCUUCGGGACUUAACUUAGUGGCGAACGGGUGAGUAACGCGUGAGAAACCUGCCUUUCAGUGGGGGACAACAGUUGGAACGACUGCUAAUACCGCAUGAUACUUCUUGAGGGCAUCCUUAAGAAGUCAAAGCUUUAUGUGCUGAAAGAUGGUCUCGCGUCUGAUUAGCUAGUUGGUGGGGUAACGGCCCACCAAGGCGACGAUCAGUAGCCGGUCUGAGAGGAUGAACGGCCACAUUGGGACUGAGAUACGGCCCAGACUCCUACGGGAGGCAGCAGUGGGGAAUAUUGGGCAAUGGGGGAAACCCUGACCCAGCAACGCCGCGUGAAGGAAGAAGGCCUUCGGGUUGUAAACUUCUUUUACCAGGGACGAAGAACGUGACGGUACCUGGAGAAAAAGCAACGGCUAACUGCGUGCCAGCAGCCGCGGUAAUACGUAGGUUGCAAGCGUUGUCCGGAUUUACUGGGUGUAAAGGGCGUGUAGGCGGAGCUGCAAGUCAGAUGUGAAAUCCCGGGGCUCAACCCCGGAACUGCAUNUGAAACUGUAGCCCUUGAGUAUCGGAGAGGCAAGCGGAAUUCCUAGUGUAGCGGUGAAAUGCGUAGAUAUUAGGAGGAACACAGUGGCGAAGGCGGCUUGCUGGACGACAACUGACGCUGAGGCGCGAAAGCGUGGGGAGCAAACAGGAUUAGAAACCUUGGUAGUCCAAGCUGUAAACGAUGAAUAGUAGGUGUGGGAGGAGUGACCCCAUCCGUGCCGCAGUUAACACUAUAAGUAUUCCACAUGGGGAGUACGACCGCAAGGUUGACAAUCAAAGGAAUUGACGGGGGCUCGCACAAGCAGUGGAUUAUGUGGUUUAAUUAGACGCAACGCGAAGAACGUCACCAGGAUUAGACAUCCAAAAAACGAAGCAGAGAUGCAUUAGGUGCCCUUCGGGGAAAGAUGAGACAGGUGGUGCAUGGAUAUCGUCAGCUCGUGUCGUGAGAAGGUGGGUUAAGUCCAUCAAAGAGCGCAACCCCUAUUGUUAGUUGUUACGAAAGAGCACUAUAGUGAGACUGCCGUUGACAAAACGGAGGAAGGCGGGGAUGACAUCAAAUCAUCAUGCCCAUUAUAUCAUGGGCUACACACGUAAUACAAUGGCCGUCAACAGAGGGAAGUGAAACCGCGAGGUGGAGCAAAUCCCCAAAAACGGUAUCAGUUCGGAUUACAGGCUACAAAUCGCCUGCAUGAAGAUGGAAUUGCUAGUAAUCGCGGAUCAGCAUGCCGCGGAGAAUACGUUCACCGGGCCUUGUACACACCGCCCGUC
rnacentral:rRNA from 1 species